AUAAGGGCGCACGGUGGAUGCCUUGGCAUUAAGAGCCGAAGAAGGACGUGACUAACGACGAUAUUCUAGGGGGAGCAGUAAGUACGCAUUGAUCCCUAGGUCUCCGAAUGGGGAAACCCACUAUGUUAUGCAUAGUAUCCGUAAGUGAAUACAUAGCUUACGCGAAGGUAACGCAGAGAACUGAAACAUCUAAGUACCUGCAGGAAGAGAAAGUAAAAACGAUUUCCUAAGUAGCGGCGAGCGAACGGGAAACAGGCCAAACCAAGAAGCUUGCUUCUUGGGGUUGUAGGACUGCAACGUGGACUUAAAGUCUAUAGAAGAAUUACCUGGGAAGGUAAGCCAAAGAGAGUAAUAGCCUCGUAUUUGAAAUAGACUUUAUACCUAGCAGUAUCCUGAGUAGGGCUGGACACGCGAAAUCCAGUUUGAAUCCGGGAGGACCAUCUCCCAAGCCUAAAUACUCCUUAAUGACCGAUAGUGAACCAGUACCGUGAGGGAAAGGUGAAAAGAACCCCGGGAGGGGAGUGAAAUAGCACCUGAAACCGUGUGCCUACAAGAAGUUCGAGCCCGUCAAUGGGUGAGAGCGUGCCUUUUGUAGAAUGAACCGGCGAGUUACGUUAUGAUGCGAGGUUAAGCUGAAGAGGCGGAGCCGUAGCGAAAGCGAGUCUGAAUAGGGCGCUUUAGUAUCAUGAUGUAGACCCGAAACCUAGUGACCUAUCCAUGAGCAGGUUGAAGGUGCGGUAAGACGCACUGGAGGACCGAACCAGGACACGUUGAAAAGUGUUUGGAUGACUUGUGGAUAGCGGAGAAAUUCCAAACGAACUGGGAGAUAGCUGGUUCUCUCCGAAAUAGCUUUAGGGCUAGCGUCGCAAUUUAAGUGUAUUGGAGGUAGAGCACUGUUUGGAUGAGGGGCCCAUCUCGGGUUACCAAUUUCAGAUAAACUCCGAAUGCUAAUACACAUGUGCGGCAGUCAGACUGCGAGUGCUAAGAUCCGUAGUCGAAAGGGAGACAGCCCAGACCACCAGCUAAGGUCCCAAAAUAUAUGUUAAGUGGAAAAGGAUGUGGGGUUGCACAGACAACUAGGAUGUUAGCUCAGAAGCAGCUAUCAUUCAAAGAGUGCGUAAUAGCUCACUAGUCGAGUGACCCUGCGCCGAAAAUGUACCGGGGCUAAACAUAUUACCGAAGCUGUGGAUUUAAUAUUAAUUAAAUGGUAGGAGAGCGUUGUAAUCAGCGAUGAAGGUAUACCGUGAGGGGUGCUGGAGCGAUUACAAGUGAGAAUGCCGGUAUGAGUAGCGCAAGAUAAGUGAGAAUCUUAUCCACCGUAAGACUAAGGUUUCCAGGGGAAGGCUCGUCCGCCCUGGGUUAGUCGGGACCUAAGGCGAGGCCGAAAGGCGUAGUCGAUGGACAACAGGUUGAUAUUCCUGUACUAGUAUUGUUAGUGAUGGAGGGACGCAGUAGGCUAAAGGGAGCCAGUUAAUGGAUCUGGUCUAAGCAGUGAGGUGUGGAAUGUGUCAAAUGCAUUUUCCUUUAACAUUGAGCUGUGAUGGGGAAGCGAACUACGGUUGCGAAGCCCUUGAUGUCACACUACCAAGAAAAUCUUCUAGCGUUUAAUUCAAUACUACCCGUACCGCAAACCGACACAGGUAGUCGAGGCGAGUAGCCUCAGGUGAUCGAGAGAACUCUCGUUAAGGAACUCGGCAAAAUGACCCCGUAACUUCGGGAGAAGGGGUGCUGUAGAAAUACAGCCGCAGUGAAAAGAUCCAAGCAACUGUUUAUCAAAAACACAGCUCUCUGCUAAACCGCAAGGUGAUGUAUAGGGGGUGACGCCUGCCCGGUGCUGGAAGGUUAAGAGGAGGGGUUAGACAUUAGUCGAAGCUCUGAAUUGAAGCCCCAGUAAACGGCGGCCGUAACUAUAACGGUCCUAAGGUAGCGAAAUUCCUUGUCGGGUAAGUUCCGACCCGCACGAAAGGCGUAAUGAUUUGGAUACUGUCUCAACGAGAGACUCGGUGAAAUUUUAGUACCUGUGAAGAUGCAGGUUACCCGCGACAGGACGGAAAGACCCCAUGGAGCUUUACUGCAGAUUGAUAUUGAGUACCUGUGAAGCAUGUACAGGAUAGGUAGGAGACUUUGACCUUGGGACGCUAGUUUCAAGUGAGUCGCUGUUGGGAUACUACCCUUGCUUCAUGGUUGCUCUAACCCACACGCAUAAUCGGCGUGGGAGACAGUGUCUGUCGGGCAGUUUGACUGGGGCGGUCGCCUCCUAAAGAGUAACGGAGGCGCCCAAAGGUUCCCUCAACAUGGUUGGAAAUCAUGUGUAGAGUGUAAAGGUAUAAGGGAGCUUGACUGCGAGAGCUACAACUCGAGCAGGUAGGAAACUAGGGCUUAGUGAUCCGGUGGUACCGCAUGGAAGGGCCAUCGCUCAACGGAUAAAAGCUACCCUGGGGAUAACAGGCUUAUCUCCCCCAAGAGUUCACAUCGACGGGGAGGUUUGGCACCUCGAUGUCGGCUCGUCGCAUCCUGGGGCUGUAGUCGGUCCCAAGGGUUGGGCUGUUCGCCCAUUAAAGCGGCACGCGAGCUGGGUUCAGAACGUCGUGAGACAGUUCGGUCCCUAUCCGUCGCGGGCGUAGGAAAUUUGAGAGGAUCUGCCCUUAGUACGAGAGGACCGGGGUGGACUUACCGCUGGUGUACCAGUUGUUCCGCCAGGAGCACCGCUGGGUAGCUAUGUAGGGAAGGGAUAAGCGCUGAAAGCAUCUAAGUGCGAAGCCCACCUCAAGAUGAGAUUUCCCAUUCUUUAUGAAUUAAGAGCCCUGAGAGAUGAUCAGGUUGAUAGGCUGGAAGUGGAAGUCCUGCGAGGGAUGGAGCGGACCAGUACUAAUAGCUCGAGGACUUUACC
rnacentral:rRNA from 1 species